AAAACUAGCUAGCUAGCCAAUGGCCUCCAUGUCCUCCUUCCGACUUGCCGUGGCGGUGGCUGCACUAUUGGUCAUUGGCUCACAUGCCACAGAGCUCACCUUCAAGGUUGCUGAGGGCUCUAGCGCCACUAGUCUAGAGCUCGUCACCAACGUCGCCAUCUCUGAGGUGGAGGUCAAGGAGAAAGGCGGCAAGGACUGGGUGGGGCUCAAGGAGUCGGGCUCUAACACCUGGACACUCAAAAGUGAU
rnacentral:lncRNA from 1 species